CCAAUUCCUUCCUAUUUGCUAGGGACUUUUCUGGUUCUAGCACUGAAACUCCCACUUCCUGGGAAGCCUCUGGAAAACCUGCUUUGUUGGUUGCCCUAGGAGCCAGCCGUGAUCACCCUUUCAUUGGACUGUGGGUCACAGAUUCGGCACCACUAGGUCUAAGUUCAGAGAAUGAAACCCGUGAGGCGAGAUGAAAGAGCUGGUCUGCUUUAACCCAGAGCAGCCAGGGCUGGGGGCAGGGCUGGGAGGAGGCUAUUUUGGUAACAAUCUUCACGUGUGUUGGCCGGGUGUGCUGGAAUGUGCGCCCGGCUGUGGUCCACCUCCGCCUGAGAUCAGAGCCAGAGGAAAUGGGUGUGAGAGGAGCCCGAGUUUACUCACAAAGCCGAGUUUCCUGACAGGCUCCCUGGAUGCUGUCGGCCCAGUGCUUCGCACAGCCCCACAGCCUGACACUGUGCUCUCCCUGGAUGACCACCUCCACACCUGUCACCUCAUCAGGCCUGUGGUCCAUGUUCACAGACCCAGUGGCUAUGAAAACCUUCACCAGCUGUAACCAAGUAAUCAGACUGGAGCCAGGAAAAUUACUCAAAAAAUAAAUACCACCUUGAUUCUUGCGUGAAUGGCUUUUUCAGCACCAACGUUUCACUUGAUUGAUGGACUUCAAGCAGGCCACUCUUCUCUGGGCCUCAGUUACUCUGCCACGGGUGAGGUUUAGAUGAUCCCAAAAGACCUCUCCAACUUCAGAAGAUCCUUCUUGAAGCUUCUGUAAAUGGAAGUGGAAACUGCCCACCUCCUUAACACCAGUGAGAAGCUGGGUGAGUAAUCAGAAGCCGUCUGUGAUCCCCAAGAAACUGAAUCAGAAAUUGCCUGCAUGCUGAGGCACUCUCGUGUUAGUGAGGGGCAGAGGGCAGACUUAAUGUGCGUCCACGUUUCCUCUCCCGCGAUUUCUCGGGUUGCCAUGAAAAUUGGAAUGAAUGGAAUUGGUUUGCAACAUAAUAAAAGGCUCACAGAUAAGUGAGGGAUCUGCUUUUUUUGCUCAGACCAAAAGGUGACUUUACCAGAAAUUAUGCUGAACAUCUAAGAAAUGAAUCUGGAUGAGUGAGCUCAGCCCGCCAGAGAGAUGCUCCUUGCCCAUCUUAGCGAUGAUGCUGACAUAGCAAGGGCUUCAGUUCGCUGAGACAGUCCCCGCUGCCGGGGGCAAAAACAGGCAGAGAAACCAGAAAACCGAAGUCAUUCCCAAGGUGUAGGUGGCAAGUAAGAGACUGCCCUCCCGUCUUUAAAGUCUUAAGUAAGCAAUCAAUCAACCAAUAGUGCUGACUGAUUACUGAUCAAAAUAAAUAUCUCCACCUUCCAGAACCUAUGACUUAGUUAACAACUACCCUCUCUUCUCCAGAAUAAGGAAGCCGAGUAUCGGCAGCUCCUUCUGAGAUUGCACCACACCCAUUAGGAACCCUAGUCUGCGUGUCUUACAUCCUUUGAUGUUGGAUUUUUAAUCUCUUCUAGUUCACAGGUUCUCUUCUUAGGAAUCUACCCACCCUUGGCUUUUAGCUGCCUGGGUCCUGGCACACUCUGGCUAAGCCAUUCUUCAAUCUUGGAAUCCGCUUCAGCUGCUAUUGUGUUAGCCUUUCCAACUCCAGCCUGUAUUUAGCUCCUGCCUCUGCUGGAUUCUGUAACCCAAGGCCUUCCAGGCUGGUGUGGCACACUGGGGACUCCACUUACGUUAAGGCAGUAGUUGCCCCAGCAGAGCCUCUCUGUUGCCUGGAAGCUACCCUUCAGCCUGUCCUCUCCCAAAUGUGACCUUUGGACCCAUAGAUUGGGCCAUGACAAGACAAAUGUGGUGCCGAGUCCCUUCCUCGCUCUGUCUGCUCAUCCACCACUGGACCUCAUUACUGGCAGGUCCAGAAUGGGGCUUGCUACGGUCUGAACAGAGGCAAUAAGAGCAAACGCAACCUCUCCUUUGUCCUAGGAAUGCUGCUCUCUUCAGGGUUCCCCCAGAAGAUUCCAACUGCCACUUUUCUUGAGUUAGAGCUAUACAGUCCCUAGAGGUAAAAGAUUCCAUGGGGCAGGUGUCUGGUUCAGUAGUUAUUACACUUCUGGGACAGCCACAUCCCUUUGCAGAGUGCUAGGCAGCAGGUGAUGGCUCGAGGACUUAAGUCCCUGCCACCGAAUGGAGCCCUCAGUUCCUGGCUUUGGCCUGGUGCAGCCCUGGUUGUUGAGGUUAUUUGGUGAGUGAAUCAGUGGAUGGCAGAUUUCUGUCUGUCUCUGCAUUUAAGAACGAAAUAAGUAAAAAUAAGUUAAAAAAUUAUUCUUCUAGAUGGAAGAAUAAUUGGCUUCCUCCAGAACGAGCCAUUUUCUCUGGAAGAGGAGGCACAGUGAAGAGAACACUCCCCCUUGGACGCCUUGCCAGCAAGAGGAGGACACGGUCCUUAAACAUUCACAUCUCUGUGGGCACUGGGGUUACAAACCACAGCUCUGACAGAUUGUCAAGGCAGAUGCAGUAGUUCAAGGUUAAGUUCAUCUUCCUUACCCCAUCAUCCUUUCUUCCUUAUCUCUGUUGGUGGCAUUAUUAUACAGCCUGGAAAAUCCGCUCCUCACCCUGAUGGAAACUGUCAGGUGUAUCUGUAAUGUAUGUCACCUUCUCGCCCCUCUCUUCUGCCACCUUGUUCACACUUGUUGCCUCGCAUCUAGACCAAUGCAUAAUGUCUUAGCCCUGAAAUGUUCACCCCCGAAGUGUUCACCCCCAUGUUUGCCAUCCCUUCUCUACUAUAAGGAAAUAGCUGGAGAAGGGAGGUUCCAUUUCUUAGUAUGGGACCCAGAGUUUCCACAAAUUAGCCAUUGCCCAUCACUCAUUCCUAUGUUCCUUCUGAAAUCUGGUGAAGAAAGGCAGGUGUUAUCCUGAUCCGACCCGAUGUUGUGAUCGCAGACUCAUCUCUGAGUCUGACAGAACAAAUGGCCACUGCUUAAACAUGCCCUACCUUUUGACCUCUGGCCUGACCUCAUCUUAAUCCUGGCUGGACGGUCCUCCUAUCACCUCUCCUCUCUUCUCAGGCCUCACAGAUUGCUCCGCCUGGCCGAUUAGUACAGUUCUCCUUGGCUUUGGGCUACUACGGCAUUUAGCAACUUUGACCUUGUGCUGCUCAUGGUUGCAUAUGCACCUCUUUCCUGCUUGAUGACAAGCUCUGUGUGUUCUCUUUAUGGUUACCACAGUCAUGGGUCACCACAGAUGCUCAAGGAAUGUUUGUUGAAAUGAAUCUGUCCAAAUCUGUACCUGACAGCCUGGUUCUAAAGCUUGGUGUAUGUAUUUGUGUUACAGACACACCUAAGAACAGAUGUUCAGGCACACACUUGCACAGAUGUUCACGCAUGAUUGCAUGCUCACACAGAGGCCACAUCCAGACUCAUAAUGCACACGUAUGCGCAGGCAAACACACUUGAAUCAUAGGCAAACCUGCAUACAUGUUCACACACAUGUAUACACACACACACACACACACAUACAAGGGUACUUGAAAAAGCUUGUGGAAAAAUGGAAUUGAGUACAUUUCCACAAGCUUUUGGAGGAACCUCAGAUGUAUAUACUGCAUCUUCAUAUAUAUGCCCGCUUAUCCACAGGUUCACACAUAUAAACAUGCCUUAUUUUUUAGAAAGAUGAUUUUUGCUAAGGGCACUUGGGUGUGGAACGGUGAAGAACUAGAGGCUGUGGUCCCUGAGGGAGGUGAGUCAUCAUGACUGAAUCUGGGGAUACACUUACUCUGCACAUCCAAUGGUUCUUUCAGGAGGAAGGAGCUCUAUAUUGGUAACAUCCUGGCCUGUCAGUCAUUGCUCGGGUAUGGAAAGAAUUGGCUGAUAGGAAAUGUACAGAGACCCAAGUGGUGUGAUGGCUCAGGCUCUGUUUUCCUCCGGGAGCUAACAACCCUCAGGCGGCACAGGCUGGGGGGUGGGCAGGGCAGGGCUGAGGUGAUGGGAGCUGGGUACUGGGAAGUUUAUUUGCUCCACUGUGCUACCGAUGGUAGCAUAGCCUCCAUCUGUGGUCUUUCUUGCUCAAUGGGCUCAGGGAUAGGGAGUGCUGUGCUUUAGGACCUCGCAAAGAUCCUAGCAGGAGCUGGACUUGGGUAAAGUGCCUCUUCUCUGCCUACCCAGGAGCCUUAGAGGCUGAGGAAACUCUGUCCGACUGUUUACUCCCUACUCUUGAUGUGCAGGCCUCAAAGACAUCUAGGACACUUCUCAGCUUUCCCAGUACUUGGAGCCUCGUUGAACAAAAGGCUGCAUUCACACUGACUGUUUGUUUACAGCCGGUUUUGCUGGCAAGGCGCUCACACUCUGCGACUCCAUCUGGCUGGGGAGCAGGUUUCAAAGCAGGGAGAUUGGUUUUCCUCCCCUGGGUGUGACAUCACGGUGUUGGCCACACUUCGGCUGGCAUCCCCUCGGCAGGAGCCGCAUUUCAUUCAUUGUAAUAGGACACUGCGGAUACGUGGUUCUCAGCCGUGCACACCAGGCUGGUGCAGAACGGCCUCUUGCUCUGUCCCACGGUGGCACUGAGCGCUGCCUUCUCUGGGGUCGGAGAGGAGGGUUCAGGCUGGACUCACACGCAGGGCCAGUGAGGACAGGCUGAGGGGACAAGGGCGGUUCUGGGGAGAAGAGGCUGAGGUUGAUGGCUGGGGCAUGCAGGAGCUCGGUGGUGUUUCACAGAGGCAGGGGCCCUCAGGCCACGCCUACUGAGGGGGGCUGCCGGGAGCACCGCUGGCUGCGGCCGAGGGGUUGCAUCUCGGACUGGGUGAUACGGGGACUUGGUGGGAGUGACUCUUCUUAAAGAGCUUGACAAGCAGAAUACAUUUCGGUCUGCCCACAAUGGUUGGCGUUACUCUUAAAAUACGGCUCAGAAAGAAGCAAUACAUCUGUCACUAAAGCGUUUUUACCAACUCUACUCACACCGAAAGCUCUUCUGUUUGCUUUUGUUUUGCUGUGGGGAACCCACUGAUUGCCAUACACUGUCCCCUCCCUGGGAUCCCCUCAAAUACUUGCCGGGUGACCACUGGAUCUUCAUGUGCCCAGCAAGAGACCCACAGCUGCCAGCCCAGGGGGAGGGCUGAAAAGCAUAUGUUUAUUUUUAAAAGUAUACAAAAUAAAACAUUUUUCUAGGAUUAUAUGCUUUGAGAUUUUGAAACCGGAAUGGGAAUCUCAAAAGGUCGUGUGACAUAUUCCCUACCCAGACAAGUGAGUCCUUUUAACAUCACCCACUCCACCCUCCCCACGCUGAGCAGAGCCCCCGCUUCUCACACCAGCUCAGAGUUUCCAAAAAUGCGACAUGUGCCACUGUUGCUGUUAGCGACAAUUUUCAUGACACACAGAUGAUCUCUUUUUUCUUUAAUACGUACGUAUUUCUUUUCUUACACAUUGGACAAAAAUACUCAAAGGGUGGAUAUUUCAGAGAGAACGGAGGAGAGGCUGAGAAUAACGUGAGCAGAGGAACACAGCAGAGUAUGAUGGGGACCGAGUUACAAUCCAGGAGAAAUAUAUUUACACAGAAAAUGUGAGUGUGGCAGGGAGGGCCUGUGGGGCAGACAUUGAGCC